rnacentral:lncRNA from 1 species
CCCUCAUCUAUGAGUUUGUGUGUGAAUGAGCCUCCUGAAGCAAUGUCGAGGUGAAGAGCAGCUUCCUUGUUUAGACCACGAUAAAAGUGGUAGUACAGUACCUGGUCAGGUAGGGAAAGGUUUGGACCGGAAUUGGUAAGGGUUGUGAACCAAGCCCAAGCUGCUCCUAAAGUUUCCUUCUCUCUUUGUUUGAAUGUAAGAAUUUCGAUUCUAAGGUCAGCGAUUCAAAAAAGUGGGAAGAAAGGGAGACAAAAGUUGUCCCGAAGUUCAUCCCAAUUUCCAUUAACGCCUCCAACAGAAUGAGCAUACCACUUUUUUGCUCUUCCCAAAAGGGAGAAUGGAAAUAAUUUCUAUUUAAGAGUUUCUUGUGUCAUGCCGGAAAUAGAUUGACAAGAGCACAACUGCUCGAAUUCUUUAAGGUGGGUGUAUGGAUCUUCAUCUACUUGCCCAGAGAAGAGUUGCUCCUGAAUCAUGGCUAUUAGAUCAGGGCCGAGGUCGUAGCCAUCUGUAAGAAUUGGGUGUGAUGAUGAUGGUGGCUCUAAUAACUCAACCUUUGGAGCAAAGAAUUUAUAGAUAGAAGUGAAAUCCAUGUGGUAUGGUGAAAAUGGUAAGGUGAGUGUGGUAAAAAAAGAAAAAGAAAAAGGAUACAUGAACGACUUGGUUCAAAACUAGCACAACUACCUUUCCCCGGCAACGGCGCCAGAAAGCUUGUUGGGUAUUUUAAACGCAAAUAGAAAAAUCCGCAAGCGCACGGAUGCCGAUGUAGCUUUCACCCGGGAGUAUUCCAGAGUAUCGAUUUUCCACAGGGAACGUGAGUGUACUAAUUAAGAUUCAAGAUCGCCCAAGGAUAACUAUAUAAUUAUUUUUGGUGGUAAGAGAUUUCUCUAGUUGAUCUAAGAAUCAAGAAUUACUUCAAAGAUUAUUUAUUUCAGGACAUCAGAGCACUAACCACAGAAAGAGAUGAGAAGGGGGCUAGGAAGCUCUGACUACGGUCCUAUAAACACCGAUCCGAACGAGGUGGAAUACGUCGACCGUUAGGGCUGUCACUACCCUAGGGCUACCACAACAAUCCGCAGGAUUGGGUGCAAUUCCAGGUAAUUGCAAGACUAAACUCCACGUCUAAUCUAUUAAAUACUACUCUAGCGUUG